UGGGGAAUAUUGGACAAUGGGCGCAAGCCUGAUCCAGCAAUGCCGCGUGUGUGAAGAAGGCCUGCGGGUUGUAAAGCACUUUAAGCGGGAAAGAAGGCCUCAAGGCUAAUAUCCUUGAGGAUUGACGUUACCCGCAGAAUAAGCACCGGCUAACUCCGUGCCAGCAGCCGCGGUAAUACGGAGGGUGCGAGCGUUAAUCGGAAUUACUGGGCGUAAAGCGCGCGUAGGCGGUCCGUUAAGUCAGCCGUGAAAGCCCCGGGCUUAACCUGGGAACUGCGGAUGAUACUGGCGGACUAGAGUGUGGCAGAGGGUGGCGGAAUUUCCGGUGUAGCAGUGAAAUGCGUAGAGAUCGGAAGGAACACCAGUGGCGAAGGCGGCCAUCUGGGUCAACACUGACGCUGAGGUGCGAAAGCGUGGGGAGCAAACA
rnacentral:rRNA from 1 species